UACGAAGGGGGCUAGCGUUGCUCGGAAUUACUGGGCGUAAAGAGCGCGCAGGCGGUUGGAUAAGUCGAAUGUGAAAGCCCCCGGCUCAACUGGGGAGGGUCAUUCGAUACUGUCCGACUCGAAGGCAGGAGAGGGAAGCGGAAUUCCCGGUGUAGUGGUGAAAUGCGUAGAUAUCGGGAGGAACACCAGUGGCGAAGGCGGCUUUCUGGCCUGUUCUUGACGCUGAGGCGCGAAAGCCAGGGGAGCAAACGGG
rnacentral:rRNA from 1 species